CUACGGGUCGCUCCAGUGGGGAAUAUUGCACACUGGAGGAAACUCUGAUGCAGCAACGCCGCGUGGAGGAUGACACUUUUCGGAGCGUAAACUCCUUUUAUAUAGGAAGAGGAUGACGGUACUAUAUGAAUAAGCGCCGGCUAACUCCGUGCCAGCAGCCGCGGUAAUACGGAGGGCGCAAGCGUUACUCGGAAUCACUGGGCGUAAAGAGCGUGUAGGCGGAUUAAAAAGUCAGAAGUGAAAUCCUAUAGCUUAACUAUAGAACUGCUUCUGAAACUCUUAAUCUAGAAUAUGGGAGAGGUAGAUGGAAUUUCUGGUGUAGGGGUAAAAUCCGUAGAGAUCAGAAGGAAUACCGAUUGCGAAGGCGAUCUACUAGAACAUUAUUGACGCUGAGACGCGAAAGCGUGGGGAGCAAACAGGAUUAGAUACCCGUGUAGUC
rnacentral:rRNA from 1 species